rnacentral:rRNA from 1 species
AUGAUCGAAAUUCCUGAACUUGUGGCCAUUGCAUGUUGGUACUUAUGGUGGCGAAGGAGGCUGAUUACUAGAGGUGAGGAGGCCCUAACUCUAGAUCGACGCGGACUUGCAAUACAAGCUUUGGCUUUGAACUUUGUGAGAGCUGCAAGCAAACCGCCGGGCAUACCACGCCUGAAUCGGCGGCACGGACCUCUAGCUGGACAAUUUGCACUGAACGUUGAUGCAUCCUUCACAGAUUCAGAUCAUUCAGGUGCAUGUGGAGCAAUUGUCAGAGACAAUACUGGUGCUUUUAUUGGUCCGUCCAUUGCUAAAUUAGAACAUGUUGCGGAUGUUAUCUCUGUCGAAGCGGCGGCCCUUGUCGAAGGCUUCAAAUUGGCUCAGAGACUUAGAUGCAAUUCUCUCCUAGUUCAGAUGGAUAACUUGGUCGUAGUUGAAGCUUUAAACUACAACACCGGGCAUGCGAUGUUAGAUGCCCCAAUUCUCGACGACUGUCGAGCUCUUAGUCUAGACUUUGGGAAGGUUCUGAUAGAGCAUUGUAAUCGUGAAUCUAAUAUGGUUGCUCAUGUGCUAGCACAACAAGGUCGUGAUGAUCCACCAAAUGUGUGGCUGGACUCACCUCCUGACUUUAUUUCUCGUUUCUUAGCGGAUGAUGUAAGUGUUAUUUCAGAUUAA